rnacentral:rRNA from 1 species
UACGGAGGGGACUAGCGUUGUUCGGAAUUACUGGGCGUAAAGCGCACGUAGGCGGAUUUGUAAGUCAGGGGUGAAAUCCCGAGGCUCAACCUCGGAACUGCCUUUGAUACUGCAAAUCUCGAGUCCGGCAGAGGUGAGUGGAAUUCCUAGUGUAGAGGUGAAAUUCGUAGAUAUUAGGAAGAACACCAGUGGCGAAGGCGGCUCACUGGUCCGGUACUGACGCUGAGGUGCGGAAAGCGUGGGGAGCAAACAGGG